rnacentral:rRNA from 1 species
GUGGGGAAUUUUCCGCAAUGGGCGAAAGCCUGACGGAGCAACGCCGCGUGAGGGAUGAAGGCCUCUGGGCUGUAAACCUCUUUUAUCAAGGAAGAAGAUCUGACGGUACUUGAUGAAUAAGCCACGGCUAAUUCCGUGCCAGCAGCCGCGGUAAUACGGGAGUGGCAAGCGUUAUCCGGAAUUAUUGGGCGUAAAGCGUCCGCAGGCGGUCUUACAAGUCUGUCGUUAAAGCGUGGAGCUUAACUCCAUUUCAGCGAUGGAAACUGUAAGACUAGAGUGUGGUAGGGGCAGAGGGAAUUCCCGGUGUAGCGGUGAAAUGCGUAGAUAUCGGGAAGAACACCAGUGGCGAAGGCGCUCUGCUGGGCCAUAACUGACGCUCAUGGACGAAAGCCAGGGGAGCGAAAGGGAUUAGAAACCCCAGUAGUCC